rnacentral:rRNA from 1 species
UGCAAGUCGAGCGGAUGACAGGAGCUUGCUCCUGAAUUCAGCGGCGGACGGGUGAGUAAUGCCUAGGAAUCUGCCUGGUAGUGGGGGACAACGUUUCGAAAGGAACGCUAAUACCGCAUACGUCCUACGGGAGAAAGCAGGGGACCUUCGGGCCUUGCGCUAUCAGAUGAGCCUAGGUCGGAUUAGCUAGUUGGUGAGGUAAUGGCUCACCAAGGCGACGAUCCGUAACUGGUCUGAGAGGAUGAUCAGUCACACUGGAACUGAGACACGGUCCAGACUCCUACGGGAGGCAGCAGUGGGGAAUAUUGGACAAUGGGCGAAAGCCUGAUCCA